rnacentral:rRNA from 1 species
CACGUAGGGCGCAAGCGUUGUCCGGAAUUAUUGGGCGUAAAGAGCUCGUAGGCGGUCUGUUGCGUCCGCUGUGAAAACUCGGGGCUUAACCCCGAGCCUGCAGUGGAUACGGGCAGACUAGAGGUAGGUAGGGGAGAAUGGAAUUCCCGGUGUAGCGGUGAAAUGCGCAGAUAUCAGGAGGAACACCGGUGGCGAAAGGCGCCCACUCUGGGGCCGAAAACUGACGCUGAGGAGCGAAAGCGUGGGUAGCAAACAGG